GAUGAACGCUAGCUACAGGCUUAACACAUGCAAGUCGAGGGGAAACGAUAUUGGAAGCUUGCUUCUGAUAGGCGUCGACCGGCGCACGGGUGAGUAACCGGUAUCCAACCUGCCCAUCACUUGGGGAUAACCUUGCGAAAGUAAGACUAAUACCCAAUGACGUCUCUAGAAGACAUCUGAAAGAGAUUAAAGAUUUAUCGGUGAUGGAUGGGGGAUGCCGUCUAGAUUAGCUAGUUGGCAGGGCAACGGCCUACCAAGGCGACGAUCAGUAGCCGACCUGAGGAGGGUGACCGGCCACAUUGGGACUGAGACACGGCCCAAACUCCGUACGGGAGGCAGCAGGUGGGGAAUA
rnacentral:rRNA from 1 species